AGUUUUGGUUUUUCAAUUUUGUUAAUGAACAAUGAUUGUAUGAUUGUAAUUGUAUGAUUAUGUUAAUUAUUUGUAAUAAAUGAUUCUUUUUGGUGAUUAAUGACUUUUUGUUGUAUGUAUUUGAAUGAAACUAAGGAGCCCUCAGACGAAAUAAAAUUAGUGUUUUUUUUGUUUUUCAAUAAAAUUAUAAAAAAUAUAUUAUAAUUGGCUCAUUACCAUUUGAUCAAUUUAAUAUUAUUUAAAAUAUUUUUGUUAU
rnacentral:lncRNA from 1 species